GCAUUUGGCCACAACACACAGAAAAGGGAAGACGUGCAAUAACAUCAUGGCAGAACAGGCAAGGGAAUAUGUGUGGGCCUGUGAACUAAGCAAAGAAAAACCCACAUUUGUGUUUUCCUUCAAAGAAGAGGAAGAAGAGGAAGAUGACGAGGAAGAGGAAGAAGAGAGCAGUCCAGAGAAAAAGAAAAGUUCAAGAAAGGACAGUGCGAAGGGUGGAAAGAAGGUCGCCAAAAAGGGCAAAGUUGUCAAAAAGGGCAAAAAAUAAUCUCGGGAGAGCCUAACCUAGAAAUGUUUAGUUUGAAUUAUCUAGUGCUGCAUAAUAAACAUGUUCACAACUCU
rnacentral:misc_RNA from 1 species